CGUGGUGCUUGGACGUGGUGCUUGGACAUGAUUCUUGGACAUGGUGCUUGGCCACACAUGAUGGACGUGGUGCUUGGACGUGGUGCUUGGACAUGGUGCUUGGACAUGGUGCUUGGUGCAGUGCUUGGCCAUACAUGAUGGACAUGGUGCUCAGACGUGGUGCUCGGACACGGUGCAUGGACGUGGUGCUUGGGCAAGGUGCUCUGCUGUGGUCUCAGUCAUGGUGUGUGGACAUGGUGCUUGACCACGGUGCUUGGACAUGAUGUAUGGACGUGGUGGACAUGUUCUCGGACAUGGUGCAUGGACAUGGUGCUCGGGCAUGGUGCUCAGCCAUGCACCAUGGAUGUGGUGCUCAAACAUGAUGUGUGGACAGUGCUUGACCGCAGCGCUUGGACCUGGUGCUCGGACCUGGUGCUUGGACAUGGCGCAUGGAUGUUGGUGCUCGGACAUGCUGGACAUUGGUGCUCGGACAUGGCGAGUGGACGUUGGUGCUCGGCCACGCACCAUGGACGUGGUGCUCAGGUGUAGUGGUGGGUGGACACGGUGCUCAGACGUGGCACACGGACACGGGUGCUCUGCUUGCUGCUUGGACUCGACUCGGUGCUUGGCCACGGUUCCUGGACCCGUGCUCGGCCGUGGUGCUCGGCCACGAUGGGAUUUGACCGCGUGUUGUGGACAUGGUGCUUGAGCGUGGCGCUCCACGGUGGUGCUCGGGCACGUGCGUGGACACGGUGCUCGGACACGGCGUGUGGACACGGUGUGGGCCGUGGGGCUGGGACACGGCGUGUGGACACGGUGGUUGGCCAUGGAGCAUGGGCAUGGUGCUCAGACAUGGAGCAUGGACACGGUGGCUGGGCACAGAACACGGACACGGUGGUUGGACACAGAGCAUGGACACGGUGGUUGGGCAUGGAGCAUGGACACGGUGGUUGCCCAGAGCAUGGACAUGGUGAUUGCCCAGAGCAUGGACACGGUGGUUGCCCACGCUGCCCGGGCAUGGCACACAGCUCGGUGCUGCUCGGGCACACCCCUGGCACCGCCCGGCCGGGCCCGGUCCUGGCGCUGUUCCUCUUCAGCACCAACCUUGAGCAGCCAACCCCACCCUGCGCUCCUGGUGCUCAGCACCGCGCCAGCCCCAUGUCCAUCCCUGUGGCCAUCACCGUGUCCAUCCCAUGUCCAUCCCUGCAUCCAUCCCCGUGUCCAUCCCUGUGGCCAUCACCAUGUCCAUCCCAUGUCCAUCCCUGUGUCCAUCACCGUGUCCAUCACCGUGUCCAUCCCUGCAUCCAUCCCUGUGUCCAUCUCUGUGUCCAUCACCAUGUCCAUCCCGUGUCCAUCCCGUGUCCAUCCCUGUGUCCAUCCCGUGUCCAGCCCUGCCCAGGCUCCCGCAGCUCCUCGCUCUCUCCGCGCUCCUCCCGCCUCUUUCGUUUCCCCUUCCCGGAUUUUUGGGUUGAUUUUCCUUUUUUUGGCGUUUCUUGGUGCUACUCCCCCCCGCGCCCCCAGCAGAUACCUCAGCCCCAGCCCGGGUGCAGCUCCUCCGGGAUCAGGGAUCCUUUCCCAAAUUCCUGGGAUCCUUUCCCAAAUUUCUGGGAUCCUUCCCCAAUUCCUGGGAUCCUUCCCCAGUUCCUGGGAUCCUUUCCCAAAUAUCUGGGAUCCUUUCCCAAAUUUCUGGGAUCCUUCCCCAAUUCCUGGGAUCCUUCCCUAAUUCCUGGGAUCCUUCCCCCAAUUCCUGGGAUCCUUUCCCAAUUCCUGGGAUCCUUUCCCAAAUAUCUGGGAUCCUUCCCCAGUUCCUGGGAUCCUUUCCCAAAUUUCUGGGAUCCUUUCCCAAAUAUCUGGGAUCCUUCCCCAGUUCCUGGGAUCCUUUCCCAAAUAUCUGGGAUCCUUUCCCAAAUUUCUGGGAUCCUUCCCCAGUUCCUGGGAUCCUUCCCCCAAUUCCUGGGAUCCUUUCCCAAAUUUCCAGGAUCCUUUCCCACAUUCUCGAGAUCCUUUUCCCUCCAUUUCCGAGAUCCUUUCCCGCAUUUCCAGGAUCCUUUCCCGCAUUUCCAGGAUCCUUUCCCGAAUUUCCAGGAUCCUUUCCCGCAUUUCCAGGAUCCUUUCCCGAAUUUCCAGGAUCCUUUUUCCUGAAUUUCUGGGAUCCUUUGGGGCUUUCCUCCUGCCUUGCCCUCCUUUUCCCGUUUCCAGCCGGGUUUUCCCAUUUCUGCGCCUCCUUCAGGGAAUUCCGACCCCGCCGCGAUUUCCCCGCUUGGGUCACGAGGAGGGGCCGUGGGAUCCUUCAUUUGGGAAUCAAAUUGGAUUGAUUUUAUUUUAUUUAUUUUAUUUUAUUUUAUUUUAUUUUAUUUUAUUUUAUUUUAUUUUAUUUUAUUUUAUUUUAUUUUUAUUUUAUUUAUUUUAUUUUAUUUUAUUUUAUUUUAUUUUAUUUAUUUUAUUUUAUUUUAUUUU
rnacentral:lncRNA from 1 species